rnacentral:rRNA from 1 species
AGCAUAUCAAUAAGCGGAGGAAAAGAAACUAACAAGGAUUCCCCUAGUAACGGCGAGUGAAGCGGGAAGAGCUCAAAUUUAAAAUCUGGCAGUGUAUGCUGUCCGAGUUGUAGUCUAGAGAAGCAUCAUCCGUGCUGGACCAUGUACAAGUCUCUUGGAACAGAGCGUCAUAGAGGGUGAGAAUCCCGUCCUUGACAUGGACUCCCAGUACUUUGUGUUGUGCUCUCAACGAGUCGAGUUGUUUGGGAAUGCAGCUCAAAAUGGGUGGUAAAUUCCAUCUAAAGCUAAAUAUUGGCGAGAGACCGAUAGCGAACAAGUACCGUGAGGGAAAGAUGAAAAGCACUUUGGAGAGAGAGUUAAACAGUACGUGAAAUUGUUGAAAUGGAAACGCUUGAAGUCAGUCCGUUCUCUGGGAUUCAGCCUUGCUUCUGCUUGGUGCAUUUCCUAGUCUACGGGCCAGCAUGAAUUUUGACCGGUGGAAAAAGAUUUGGGGAAUGUGGCACUUCGGGUGUGUUAUAGCCCCUUGUCACAUACAUCGGUUGGGAUUGAGGUCUUAGUGCACGCUUCGGUUCUGCUUUGAUGCUGGCGUAAUGGCUUUAAACGACCCGUCUUGAAACACGGACCAAGGAGUCUAACAUGUCUGCGAGUGUUUGGGUGCAAAACCCGAGCGCGUAAUGAAAGUGAUAGUUGGGAACCUCUUUAGAGGGGCACCGACGCCCGGACCAGACCUUCUGUGACGGAUCCGAGGUAGAGCAUAUAUGUUGGGACCCGAAAGAUGGUGAACUAUGCCUGCAUAGGGUGAAGCCAGAGGAAACUCUGGUGGAGGCUCGUAGCGAUUCUGACGUGCAAAUCGAUCGUCAAAUGUGGGUAUAGGGGCGAAAGACUAAUCGAACCAU